CCCUGCCUACGGGGGGCAGCAGUGGGGAAUAUUGCACAAUGGGGGAAACCCUGAUGCAGCGACGCCGCGUGAGUGAGGAAGUAUCUCGGUACGUAAAGCUCUAUCAGCAGGGAAGAAAAAAAGUCUUUGGCUUUGGACGGUACCUGACUAAGAAGCCCCGGCUAACUACGUGCCAGCAGCCGCGGUAAUACGUAGGGGGCAAGCGUUAUCCGGAUUUACUGGGUGUAAAGGGAGCGCAGACGGCAAGGCAAGUCUGAUGUGAAAGUCCGAGGCUCAACCUCGGGACUGCAUUGGAAACUGUCUGG
rnacentral:rRNA from 1 species